UGAGUUUGAUUCUGGCUCAGAACGAACGCUGGCGGCAGGCCUCAUACAUGCAAGUCGAGCGGUCCUUCGGGACAGCGGCGAACGGGUUAGUAACGCGUGGGAACGUGCCCUUUAGUACGGAAUAGCCAUUGGAAACGAUGAUUAAUACCGUAUACGCCCCAAGGGGGAAAGAUUUAUCGCUAAAGGAUCGGCCCGCGUUAGAUUAGGUAGUUGGUAGGGUAAUGGCCUACCAAGCCGACGAUCUAUAGCUGGUUUGAGAGGAUGAUCAGCAACACUGGGACUGAGACACGGCCCAGACUUCUACGGAAGACAGCAGUAGGGAAUCUUGGACAAUGGGCGAAAGCCUGAUCCAGCCAUGCCGCGUGAGUGAUGAAGGCCCUAGGGUUGUAAAGCUCUUUCGCCAGGGAAGAUAAUGACGGUACCUGGUAAAGAAACCCCGGCUAAUUCCGUGCCAGCAGCCGCGGUAAUACGGAGGGGGUUAGCGUUGUUCGGAAUUACUGGGCGUAAAGCGCACGUAGGCGGAUUAAUAAGUCAGGGGUGAAAUCCCGAGGCUCAACCUCGGAACUGCCUUUGAUACUGUUAAUCUUGAGUUCG
rnacentral:rRNA from 1 species